UUCCCUUUGGUUCGGAAUAACAAGAGGAAACUUUUGCUAAUACCGGAUAAGUCUUUACGGAGAAAGCUUUAUGCGCCAUUGGAUGAGCCUGCACUUGAUUAGUUAGUUGGUGGGGUAAAGGCCUACCAAGACAAUGAUCAAUAGCUGAUUUGAGAGGAUGAUCAGCCACAUUGGGACUGAGACACGGCCCAAACUCCUACGGGAGGCAGCAGUAGGGAAUCUUGCACAAUGGGGGAAACCCUGAUGCAGCGAUGCCGCGUGAGUGAAGAAGGCCUUUGGGUUGUAAAGCUCUUUCGUCGGGGAAGAAAAUGACUGUACCCGAAUAAGAAGGUCCGGCUAACUUCGUGCCAGCAGCCGCGGUAAUACGAAGGGACCUAGCGUAGUUCGGAAUUACUGGGCUUAAAGAGUUCGUAGGUGGUUAAAAAAGUUGGUGGUGAAAUCCCAGAGCUUAACUCUGGAACUGCCAUCAAAACUUUUUAGCUAGAGUAUGAUAGAGGAAAGCAGAAUUUCUAGUGUAGAGGUGAAAUUCGUAGAUAUUAGAAAGAAUACCGAUUGCGAAGGCAGCUUUCUGGAUCAUUACUGACACUGAGGAACGAAAGCAUGGGUAGCGAAGAGGAUUAGAUACCCUCGUAGUCCAUGC
rnacentral:rRNA from 1 species